UCACUCCUGUCCCUCUCUGAUUGACACGCCUCCUACUCCGCCAUCACAUCUGUGUGUUUCUGAGACAGACCAAGUUCUUCCCCACUCUAUUAUCUUUGCGCUGGCCAUUCAGUUGGCCUGGAAUGCUCUUCCCAUCUUUGCAUGUCUUGCUUCUCCCCAUCCUUCAGAGUCUCUAGGACCAGACAACCUAAAGCUCACCCCCAGUUGCUUUCACACAGUCGUGCUUUAUUCUCCUCGGAGUGCUAACCACAAUGAGAAGUUGUGUGAUUUACUUGUUCACCUGAGUGUCUUGUUCACAAGAACGUCAGCUCCAUGGGGGGAGCCUGCUGUCUGCUGUGAUUCUGUAUCCUCAACCCUGAGAACUGCGCUACGCACAUUGUAGGUGCUCAAUAAAGAUUUGCUGAUUGAAUAAAGAUCAAUCAGCAAUGAAAGUAGAGUAUGUCUAAAUGAAAAAGAAUGGAGAAGAGGUGAGCCAAGCACUUGUGUUACAUGCAACAACAUAUCCAUGCUUUUUGAGAGGAGACCUACUUUCUCUUGCCAUAAAAUUGAACUUACAGGAAAAAUUGACUAAAAAGAUUUCAAGGUUUGAUUCAGGAUGGGAGGGACCGGUUGCUUAUGUCUCCAGUUAGGUUUUCAUCAGGGAAAUUAGAAGGGAAUUGAAGUAACAUUUGGUAGAGACCUACCAGGGGCCAGGGCUGUGUUGGGGUCAUGAAAAUAAUAAAUGGCGCUUACUGUGGGCUUACAUGGACAUACCAUGGUUGUAUACAUGAGACAUCCCUUAUGUCAAUUAAUCCUCACCAUGACCCUACAAAGUUGGCACUGUCAUGGACCUCAUUGUAUAGGAGAGGAACCGAGGUCCUAAGAUGAGAAUUUGCCUGAGGAACCACAUCUGGUAAUGACUGAGCUGUGGUUUCAAUCCUCUUCUCUUUGAUUUCGAAGCUCGUCAUCAUACAAGUUUACGUAUAACCUGUAUAGCGCCCAUUAAUUGCAUGUUCACAGCGUGAGGCCCACUACUAAGGCUCUAGGUAGAGGUAUGUUCAUCAACCAGGAUCAGAACCCACCUUGGGUCACAUGGCCUGUUGAAUGGCUUUGGCCACCCUCUACCUUUAGUUUCUGGUUUGUUCUCCUGAGGGCAGAGGUAAAGACAGCUGUGUGAUUGACUCACCCGUUGCCAGCAAACCAAAGGCCUGGGAAGGUUUUUGCUGAUUCAUGGGGGGCGAUGUUUGUUGCUCGGCACUGGAAUCACGUGUGCCAUUUGUGAGGCUCCUCAAAGGUUUAUUGCGAGCUACUUAUGGUCUGAUGUUCGCAAUAGAGUGUAGGGGUUGUUUUGUGGAUCCUGGAGUCAGACAGGACUAGGUUCGAAUCCUGGCUCUAUCACUUAUGAGAUGUGAGGCGAUGCCUUUUGACGACUUUGUAUCUGUGUGUGCGAAAAACAGAAGUUGCCUGCCUCAUAGCUUUUCAUUGAUUGUGAUCAUGCACUCCACAUGGAGCCUGUAACUAGCCAUCGGUAAGCAUUAGCUAUUGGUGAUAUUUUUAUUAACAUCAUUGUAUCGAAUUUGAGGACUGUCCUGGGCCAGAUUGUGGGAGAGGAUGUGGGACAGGAUGAUGGGGUGGUGUUUGUGAUCUGACUGCAUAGGGAGGCUUUAGAUUAAUAAGACUAAAGAUCUCGAGUGCUCACAGUUUCUACAUCUAUAAAAUAGCAACGGUAAUACUCCUUUGUUGGUGUAAAAGUUAAAUGAAAACACCUAUAAGGUUAAUGAUGAUAAUGGCUGGUAUUUAUUGUCCACAAUAUGUUCUAGGCAUUGUUCUAAGAAUUUAACCCACUGAGUCUACACAGCAAACACUCUGAAGUAGGUGUUGUUAUGAUCUCCAUUUUAAAGAUGAGGGACGGGAGGCAAGUGUGUGUCUGGGAUAUCACAAGGAUUAAUUAAAUAUUUAUUAGUUGCUGAGAUCUUUCAGAGGAAGAAACUCUUCAUUAUCUCCAGGGCCCAGCCUGGUACCUCGUACACAAUAGGUGCUCAGUAAAUUUUUAUUGUUGAAUAAAUGAGAUAGAUCAGAGGUGGGCAAACUUUUUCUGUGAGUAAAUAUGCUGGGCUUUGUCUUCCACACGGUUUUCGACACUUGCGUUGUAGUGCAAAAGCAGCCAUAGAUGGUGUGGAAAUACACGAGCGUGGGUGUGUUCUGAUAAAACAGUUUCUAAAAACACAUGGCAGGAGAGACUUGGCUGGGGGCCGUAGUUUGCCCAGCCCUGACAUAGAUGCUGAUGCUGAUAAACAGUGCCGUUUGUUAAAUGCAUACUCUGCGCUAGGUACCGUUCUAAGUACUUUCAUGACCCUGAUGAGGAAAGUAGGCUUGUUGGGUUUAACAACUUGUCCAGGUCUGCAAGACUAUAGAACCCGGACUAAGGAGACGGUGUUAACCACUUUAACAUUACCCAGAUGAAAGUCUAAGUUAGUUCUAGACUCUUCCUACCCAAAGUCUGUAGAUAGACCAGCAGCAUUAGCAUCACCUGGGAGCGGAUUAGAAAUGCAGAUUUUUGCCCUCCCUAGACCUUCUGAAUCAGAAUCUACAUUUUCAUAAGACUUCCAAGUGAUUCUCAUGUACGUUAAAAUUUGAGAAAGAAAGCAAAACAGAACCAAAAAACCAAACACUGUUCAAUAUCCUGAAAUAUUUAGUUUUCAUGAAUAAUCUGGUUAAUAGUAAUAACAUGGCUGAGCUUUUCAUUCAUCUUGUGGGUGUAAACCUCCUGUUAGUAUAUUGCUGGAAGAACAAGAGAGUCAAGAACACCUAUGAAAAAACAUAAGUUUAGAUGCCAAGUAGAAGCUUUAUUAUCAAACAACCACUGGAGGCUCCUAGGAAAAUGGAGCCAAUGAUUGAAUGGUCUUUACCGUAAAAGCAUUAGAAAUAUGUGAUGUGAGCUGAUCGGUUUCACUGGCCCGGGUUAGAACUUGGUUGUUUACACAGAGAUUAAAACCCAGGUGAAAUUUCUCAGAAGCUCCGAAUCGGAGCCAAGCGUAUUGAUGUUCCAUUUGGCUACUUUCUUGUGACAAGAACAGAUGGAGUAGCCCCUGCAGCAGCCUCUCCUUGCUGUGGCUUAAUCUGAUUGACAAUCGGAUCAGCACAAAGGGCAGUGAGGAAUCACUCCGCCAACAAGCUCCUUGCCCUCCCGUCUCUGGAAGAAUGUUGACUGACAGGGACUCAAUUAAAAGGGGAUUGAUUUAUUGAGCUGGAAUGCUCUGGCCUCCUUAAUCUCAGCAUCUCUCUCCUUCGUGCAAUCACCGUUCCCAAACAAGAGUCAGUCUCCACAAAUGAAACCCUCCCGAUGACCAGGGAGCCAAAGGCGCUGUUAGUUGACCGAAGGUAGCUGAGCUCUAGAAGCCCAUAAAGAAAAACCACAUAAAAGAAGUCCUUCCCGCACCAGGGCCUGGAUAAGGAUCUGGAAUGCAGCAGGGGAGGAAGACCUAAACAAAAAAUAAGCAGUGGCAAUGAAAACUGCUACCCUUGGCUCCAGGGGGAAAAUGGGCUAAGGACAGUAAAUGGGCGAAGGAGCCCUACUUUUGCGUUUUAUAUACUGUAACUGUAAGUUUCUGUUAGAAAUUACAGGGUCAUCAAGCAUCUGGAAUGUUGAUGGGGAUGCCAGUAGAAUCCCAGGGAAGAAAAAAGUCUAUGGGUUUGAAUUUGAUGCUCCCUUUGAACUGUUUCAUUGAGCUGAUGCAGUCCAAUUUCAGCUACGUGUAUGCAAAUAAUUAUUUCUAAUUGGUGGGAUUUGAGGGGCACCCCAUAAAUAGCAUCUCUUUUGUUCAGUAGAGUUGUGAACUGAUUGAGAAGUGAAAUGAAAGACUUGGCAGCUGGAGACGCAAAUACGGUACCAUCUUUGUUACUGAUAGAGUGGAGAAUGUGGCUUAUAUCUGUGGACUGGUGGAUUUCUUGAUCCUGAGCUCCCAGCCUAAAAAGACUUACCUCCCCCAGGUGAGAAGACAGACUGAGAGAGGUUGUGUGACUUGUCCAAGGACACACAGCUAGGAAGCAGGAGAACUAUAGCGCAAGCCCAGCUUCACUUGGAUCCAGAGCCUGAAACAUGAAGCAGGCUCCCCUCUAUUGUUGAAUGAAUAAAUGAACGAGGUGAAACUGGA